UACGUAGGGUGCAAGCGUUGUCCGGAAUUAUUGGGCGUAAAGAGCUCGUAGGCGGCUUGUCGCGUCGUCCGUGAAAACCUGCGGCUCAACUGCAGGCUGGCGGUCGAUACGGGCAGGCUGGAGUUCGGUAGGGGAGACUGGAAUUCCUGGUGUAGCGGUGAAAUGCGCAGAUAUCAGGAGGAACACCGGUGGCGAAGGCGGCAUCCUGGACCGGCAUUGACGCUGAGGAGCGAAAGCCAGGGGAGCAAACGGG
rnacentral:rRNA from 1 species